GAGAGUUUGAUCCUGGCUCAGGAUGAACGCUAGCUACAGGCUUAACACAUGCAAGUCGAGGGGCAGCAUGGUCUUAGCUUGCUAAGGCCGAUGGCGACCAGCGCACGGGUGAGUAACACGUAUCCAACCUGCCGUCUACUCUUGGACAGCCUUCUGAAAGGAAGAUUAAUACAAGAUGGCAUCAUGAGUCCGCAUGUUCACAUGAUUAAAGGUAUUCCGGUAGACGAUGGGGAUGCGUUCCAUUAGAUAGUAGGCGGGGUAACGGCCCACCUAGUCUUCGAUGGAUAGGGGUUCUGAGAGGAAGGUCCCCCACAUUGGAACUGAGACACGGUCCAAACUCCUACGGGAGGCAGCAGUGAGGAAUAUUGGUCAAUGGGCGAGAGCCUGAACCAGCCAAGUAGCGUGAAGGAUGACUGCCCUAUGGGUUGUAAACUUCUUUUAUAAAGGAAUAAAGUCGGGUAUGGAUACCCGUUUGCAUGUACUUUAUGAAUAAGGAUCGGCUAACUCCGUGCCAGCAGCCGCGGUAAUACGGAGGAUCCGAGCGUUAUCCGGAUUUAUUGGGUUUAAAGGGAGCGUAGAUGGAUGUUUAAGUCAGUUGUGAAAGUUUGCGGCUCAACCGUAAAAUUGCAGUUGAUACUGGAUAUCUUGAGUGCAGUUGAGGCAGGCGGAAUUCGUGGUGUAGCGGUGAAAUGCUUAGAUAUCACGAAGAACUCCGAUUGCGAAGGCAGCCUGCUAAGCUGCAACUGACAUUGAGGCUCGAAAGUGUGGGUAUCAAACAGGAUUAGAUACCCUGGUAGUCCACACGGUAAACGAUGAAUACUCGCUGUUUGCGAUAUACUGCAAGCGGCCAAGCGAAAGCGUUAAGUAUUCCACCUGGGGAGUACGCCGGCAACGGUGAAACUCAAAGGAAUUGACGGGGGCCCGCACAAGCGGAGGAACAUGUGGUUUAAUUCGAUGAUACGCGAGGAACCUUACCCGGGCUUAAAUUGCAGAUGAAUUACGGUGAAAGCCGUAAGCCGCAAGGCAUCUGUGAAGGUGCUGCAUGGUUGUCGUCAGCUCGUGCCGUGAGGUGUCGGCUUAAGUGCCAUAACGAGCGCAACCCUUGUUGUCAGUUACUAACAGGUUCUGCUGAGGACUCUGACAAGACUGCCAUCGUAAGAUGUGAGGAAGGUGGGGAUGACGUCAAAUCAGCACGGCCCUUACGUCCGGGGCUACACACGUGUUACAAUGGGGGGUACAGAGGGCCGCUACCACGCGAGUGGAUGCCAAUCCCAAAAACCUCUCUCAGUUCGGACUGGAGUCUGCAACCCGACUCCACGAAGCUGGAUUCGCUAGUAAUCGCGCAUCAGCCACGGCGCGGUGAAUACGUUCCCGGGCCUUGUACACACCGCCCGUCAAGCCAUGGGAGCCGGGGGUACCUGAAGUGCGUAACCGCGAGGAGCGCCCUAGGGUAAAACUGGUGACUGGGGCUAAGUCGUAACAAGGUAGCCG
rnacentral:rRNA from 1 species